rnacentral:rRNA from 1 species
ACGAACGCUGGCGGCAGGCCUAACACAUGCAGGUCGAGCGAGGACUUCGGUCCUAGCGGCGGACGGGUGAGUAACGCGUGGGAACGUGCCCUUUGCUUCGGAAUAGCCCUGGGAAACUGGGAGUAAUACCGGAUGAGCCCUUUGGGGGAAAGAUUUAUCGGCGAAGGAUCGGCCCGCGUUGGAUUAGGUAGUUGGUGGGGUAAUGGCCUACCAAGCCGACGAUCCAUAGCUGGUUUGAGAGGAUGAUCAGCCACACUGGGACUGAGACACGGCCCAGACUCCUACGGGAGGCAGCAGUGGGGAAUCUUAGACAAUGGGGGAAACCCUGAUCUAGCCAUGCCGCGUGAGCGAUGAAGGCCUUAGGGUUGUAAAGCUCUUUCAGCUGGGAAGAUAAUGACGGUACCAGCAGAAGAAGCCCCGGCUAACUCCGUG